rnacentral:tRNA from 2 species
GGUCGAUUAGCUCAGUCGGUAGAGCGUCGUGCUGAUAACGCGAAGGUCGUGGGUUCGAGCCCCACAUUGACCA